UGCCACCAGGUGAGGAAGGACGUAUUUUCUUCCCCUUCCGCCAUGAUUGUAAGUUUCCUGAGGCCUCCCCAGCCGUGCUAAACUGUACAGAGAAGGUAUCAUCUGUGAAGAACAGGACCUCAUCAGACACUAGAUCUGCUGGCACCUUGAUCUUGGAUUUCCCAGCCUCCAGAAUUACAUAUUGAGCAUCCACCAUUGGCCAGGCAGAUGAAAGAAUGGAUCUGGGAGGGAAGCAGUGAGUGGAUGAAGAGAAACUCAAAAAAGCUGAAAAUGCCAGACACAUCCCAAUCUCCCUUGCACCAAGCAGAGCCGUGGCCUGGGCUCAGCCAAUCAGACUCAUCGCUCCUGAGCUGAAUUACAAGCGAAUGAAGUGGAGAAGGAGGGAUCCUGCAGGAUCCAUUCUAGCAAGGGUGUUGGCAGCCACAGCAGCCACAACAGUUUCCCGAGGCGGCAGAUCUGGUGGCUGCAUCUGAAUGGAACAGCAGAGGGCUGGCAUUGUAAACUAUGAGCUGCAGGUCCACAGCAGCAACAGCGGAGUCUGCACAGGGCCAGUUCUGAGCCUGCUUUCCAACAUCAUCACAGCUGUAUGGCCUCGAAGGCUGGUUUUAGGCUUUCUCAUAUACUCUGUGUGCUAUCCAAUA